rnacentral:rRNA from 1 species
GAUGAACGCUGGCGGCGUGCCUAAUACAUGCAAGUCGAGCGAACGGACGAGAAGCUUGCUUCUCUGAUGUUAGCGGCGGACGGGUGAGUAACACGUGGAUAACCUACCUAUAAGACUGGGAUAACUUCGGGAAACCGGAGCUAAUACCGGAUAAUAUUUUGAACCGCAUGGUUCAAAAGUGAAAGACGGUCUUGCUGUCACUUAUAGAUGGAUCCGCGCUGCAUUAGCUAGUUGGUAAGGUAACGGCUUACCAAGGCAACGAUGCAUAGCCGACCUGAGAGGGUGAUCGGCCACACCGGAACUGAGACCAGGUCCAGACUCCUACGGGAGGGAGCAGUAGGGAAUCUUCCGGAAUGGGCGAAAGCCUGACGGAGCAACGCCGCGUGAGUGAUGAAGGUCUUCGGAUCGUAAAACUCUGUUAUUAGGGAAGAACAUAUGUGUAAGUAACUGUGCACAUCUUGACGGUACCUAAUCAGAAAGCCACGGCUAACUACGUG